rnacentral:rRNA from 1 species
CCUACGGGAGGCAGCAGUGGGGAAUAUUGGACAAUGGGCGGAAGCCUGAUCCAGCAACGCCGCGUGAGGGAUGACGGCCUUCGGGUUGUAAACCUCUUUCAGUACCGACGAAGCGCCCGUUGUGGGUGGUGACGGUAGGUACAGAAGAAGCACCGGCCAACUACGUGCCAGCAGCCGCGGUAAUACGUAGGGUGCGAGCGUUGUCCGGAAUUAUUGGGCGUAAAGGGCUCGUAGGCGGUUUGUCGCGUCGGGAGUGAAAACACCGGGCUUAACUCGGUGCCUGCUUUCGAUACGGGCAGACUAGAGGUAUGCAGGGGAGAACGGAAUUCCUGGUGUAGCGGUGAAAUGCGCAGAUAUCAGGAGGAACACCGGUGGCGAAGGCGGUUCUCUGGGCAUUACCUGACGCUGAGGAGCGAAAGUGUGGGGAGCGAACAGGAUUAGAUACCCUGGUAGUCCACACCGUAAACGUUGGGCGCUAGGUGUGGGGCCUAUUCCAUGGGUUCCGUGCCGCAGCUAACGCAUUAAGCGCCCGCCUGGGGNGGUACGGCGCGAGACAACUACAAGAAGUAGACGCGNGAGACGNGCCGAACGGACGACGACGAGGGAGUAGG